UGUUGGUGUGAAGGUGGAUAGGCCAGCUGAUGAGCCCAUGCCUGAAGCACCAACUGAAGUGAUUGGAGCUUGAACGUGAAUGAAGAAAUUUUUCUAGUUUUGUUUUUCACUACUAUUCUGAUCUGGGCAGUUUUGUUUGUUAUGAAUUCAUCAUAUAUGAAUGUUUCAAGUUGUUUGCAGAUUUUAAAUAUUCUAGCUGAGAUGGUUACUGUUGUUUCUAUGGUAAGAACAUGUGCUUUCUUCUUGCUUUAUUCUAGUGGACUAGAUUCAUGACAUUAUCCAAAAUUUCGUCAAAUUAAAGAUGCAUUUCUCACUUCAUUUUGGUCGAAAUAACUGCGGCUAAAAGUGUCUAUCUCAUUAAUAUUUAUAUGUUAUUCAAAUUAUAAAAAUGUUUAAAGUUCAC
rnacentral:lncRNA from 1 species